CUGGCCAAUGUUCCCAGCUGAGCACCCCUUCCACUGAUUUUCCUCCUGCUGAACAGCCUGUUAGCAGCUUUGGUGAGUGAAGUCUGCUGAGAAGUCCAGCUGGGUUAGUUUUCUGAAAGAUUAGCAAACUGUGUCAGCCUGUGGAGGGGUCUAGUGAGAAUCAGAGCCAGAAAACUGAAGGAAAUAGGAAGAUGUUGAAGAGUUAUGAUCCAACACACCUUUGUGCUACACCCAGCAUGGAUGUAUGUUUUCAGAUUUCUGCCGGCUCACAGGAAUGAUUAUCAAAAGGAAUGGCUGCCCUUUUCAGCAAAUACAGCAGAAGGGAAGUUCUCAAUUCAUAAUUCACACAGGGAGCAUGAUUCAAAGACAUGAAGACUGAUCAAUAUCUGCAAAUGACAUGGGAUCUCUGGACAAGACCAAGAAACAGGACAAACUGAGUCUAAUUCUUGAUGAUACUCUGGUUACAGGUUCUCUUUUCACAGUAGGAGUGUAAUGGAUAUAAUAAGUUUAAUGAUAUUUUUUUUUAAAAAAUAGUACCUAUCACUGCAUUUUGUCCUUUAAUCAUAACAGACCCAAAUAAAGAUGAACAUUCCUAACCA
rnacentral:lncRNA from 1 species